GAUGAACGCUGGCGGCGUGCCUAAUACAUGCAAGUCGAGCGAACAGACGAGGAGCUUGCUCCUCUGACGUUAGCGGCGGACGGGUGAGUAACACGUGGAUAACCUACCUAUAAGACUGGGAUAACUUCGGGAAACCGGAGCUAAUACCGGAUAAUAUAUUGAACCGCAUGGUUCAAUAGUGAAAGACGGUUUUGCUGUCACUUAUAGAUGGAUCCGCGCCGCAUUAGCUAGUUGGUAAGGUAACGGCUUACCAAGGCGACGAUGCGUAGCCGACCUGAGAGGGUGAUCGGCCCCACUGGACCUGAGACACGGUCCAGACUCCGACGGGAGGCAGCAGUAGGGAAUCUUCCGCAAUGGGCGAAAGCCUGACGGAGCAACGCCGCGUGAGUGAUGAAGGUCUUCGGAUCGUAAAACUCUGUUAUUAGGGAAGAACAAAUGUGUAAGUAACUAUGCACGUCUGGACGGUACCUAAUCAGAAAGCCACGGCUAACUACGU
rnacentral:rRNA from 1 species